UGGUGACUUUAUUUGUUGAAAAUGCUUAAGUGCCGUUGACUUUAAUAGUGAAUUUUUGUUUGGAAGGUGAUGUUGUUGGUUACUUUAUUUGUUGAAAAUGCUUAAGUGCAGGUGACUUUAAAAGUGAAUUAGUGUUUAGAAGGUGAUGUUGUUGGUGACUUUAUUUAUUGAAAAUGCUUAACGUUUGGUGACUUUAAUAGUGAAUUAGUUUCGUUGGUGCCUUUGUUAGUUGAAAAAGCUUAAGUUUUGGUGACUUUAAUAGUGAACUAGUGUUUAGGAGGUGAUGUUGUUGGUUACUUUAUUUGUUGAAAAAGCUUAAGUUUUGGUGACUUUAAUAGUGAACUAGUGUUUAGGAGGUGAUGUUGUUGGUUACUUUAUUUGUUGAAAAUGCUUAAGUGCCGGUGACUUUAAAAGUGAACUUUUGUUUAGAAGGUGAUGUUGUUGGUUACUUUAUUUGUUGAAAAUGCUUAAGUGCCGGUGACUUUAAUAGUGAAUUAGUUUUGUUAGUGACUUUGUUAGUUGAAAAAGCUUAAGUUUUGGUUACUUAUUUAGUGAACUAGUGUUUAGGAGGUGAUGUUGUUGGUGACUUUAUUUGUUGAAAAUGCUUAAGUUUUGGUGACUUUAAUAGUGAAUUAGUGUUUAGAAGGUGAUGUUGUUGGUGACUUUAUUUGUUGAAAAUGCUUAAGUGCCGGUGACU
rnacentral:lncRNA from 1 species